UACGUAGGGUGCGAGCGUUGUCCGGAAUUACUGGGCGUAAAGAGCUCGUAGGGGGUUUGUCGCGUUGUUCGUGAAAACUCACAGCUUAACUGUGGGCGUGCGGGCGAUACGGGCAGACUGGAGUACUGCAGGGGAGACUGGAAUUCCUGGUGUAGCGGUGAAAUGCGCAGAUAUCAGGAGGAACACCGGUGGCGAAGGCGGGUCUCUGGGCCGAUACUGACGCUGAGGAGCGAAAGCGUGGGGAGCAAACAGG
rnacentral:rRNA from 1 species